AGCAGCCGCGGUAAUUCCAGCUCCAAUAGCGUAUAUUAAAGUUGUUGCAGUUAAAAAGCUCGUAGUUGAACUUCGGGGUUUACCCAUUGGUCAGGCUUAAUUGUCUGUACUGGUGAGAUGAAUCUCUACCUUCUGAGGAACUUUUAUGCCAUUUAGUUGGUGUGAUAGGAAAUCAGGACUGUUACUUUGAAAAAUUAGAGUGUUUAAAGCAGGCUAACGUCUGAAUACAUUAGCAUGGAAUAAUGAAAUAGGACGGAUUGGUUCUAUUUCGUUGGUUUCUAGGAUCACCGUAAUGAUUAAUAGGGAUAGUUGGGGGCAUUAGUAUUCAAUUGUCAGAGGUGAAAUUCUUGGAUUUAUUGAAGACUAACUAUUGCGAAAGCAUUUGCCAAGGAUGUUUUCAUUAAUCAAGAACGAAAGUUAGGGGAUCGAAGACGAUCAGAUACCGUCGUAGUCUUAACCAUAAACUAUGCCGACUAGGGAUCGGACGAAGUUAAUUUUAUAAUGACGCGUUCGGCACCUU
rnacentral:rRNA from 1 species